rnacentral:lncRNA from 1 species
GGGAUACUGGGAAUCAAUGCAGUAGGUCAGAUGAUAAACAGCCUAUGUCUGUACCUAAAAUGGAAAAGAGGAAGGACAAACCAUGUGAGAAACAUAGAGGGGAACAAAAGGAGUGAUGGAGAUCUAAAGAGGAGCACAGAAUAUUGUUUUAUUGUGUAGGAAGGGACCACAGAAUGGAGACAUGGGGAGUGAUAGUUCAGUGUCUCUCUGUUUAGGUUGACAGAUGAGACCUGAGGCGUGGAUUAAUGUAAUUGCUAUUAAAUUAAUUCAAUUACUAUUUGCUUUUAAUUUUUCAGAUAAAAAAAGGAAGCAAAACAAACUUUGGGAUUAAAAAAAUCAUUUUGAGGGAGGCCUGACCCACAUGAGUGUAAAGCACUGAUUGCCUCUAUAUAUUGAAGGAGACACACAAAUGUAGUAGGCUACAGAUCCUUCAGCCACCUUCAGCCACAUCCUGCAACUGCUUGCUUUGUCAGUGCAAACAAGUGCUCACCUCUCCUCAGACAGCUAUUUCACAAAGCAGAACAGACUUGAAAGACCUCAAACCCCAUUGCAAAUGGAGGAUUCUUAACUUGAGGAUUUUAAACGUGUUGAGAAUUGCAAGUUGUCCAUGUGGAAAUCUUUACUGUGGUCUCUUUGCACCUGAGUCACACACAUGUUGACCAGUGCCUGCUUCCUCUGAUGCCUUCCAGAAGACACACGAUUGACCACAGACACAACUCUGGGCACAGAAAGUUUAGCUCCAGAAGAUUCUAUCCCCUUGCAUGUGCUCCAGCUCUCUAACCACCAUAAUAAUUUCUGUAGGAUUUUCAUCAGUCUGUCAAUGGGUUUCUUCUCCCUGAUGAAAAAGAUAUCUUACAGAGGAAGAAAAACUGCUAAAUUUUUUAUUUUUCCCCAACAUAGACAGCUCUUUCUGCAUUUCCCUGUGCACCUUUACAACCU